UACUGUAACACUGCACUAGAUAACUCUUU
rnacentral:piRNA from 1 species